rnacentral:rRNA from 1 species
CCUACGGGAGGCAGCAGUGGGGAAUAUUGGACAAUGGGCGAAAGCCUGAUCCAGCCAUGCCGCGUGUGUGAAGAAGGCCUUCGGGUUGUAAAGCACUUUCAGUGGGGAAGAAAGCCUUGGGGCUAAUACCCUCGAGGAAGGACAUCACCCACAGAAGAAGCACCGGCUAACUCCGUGCCAGCAGCCGCGGUAAUACGGAGGGUGCGAGCGUUAAUCGGAAUUACUGGGCGUAAAGCGCGCGUAGGCGGUCUGAUAAGCCGGUUGUGAAAGCCCCGGGCUCAACCUGGGAACGGCAUCCGGAACUGUCAGGCUAGAGUGCAGGGGAGGAAGGUAGAAUCCCCGGUGUAGCGGUGAAAUGCGUAGAGAUCGGGGGGAAUACCAGUGGCGAAGGCGGCCUUCUGGACUGACACUGACGCUGAGGUGCGAAAGCGUGGGUAGCAAACAGGAUUAGAUACCCGAGUAGUC